GGCAAAUGCCAAAAANAAACAAAAUANCAAUANUAAAAUNUUUAUUAUUGUNUCGCCUCCUAGGCAAAAAAGUAUAGUAUAAAGUGUUUUGUGUGUGUUACACAUUACACAAAAAAUUCCUUAUUUAUAUAAAAUUUGUAAAAAUUGAAAUUGUGUGGACAUAUUAUAUCAAAUUAAUUUGUAUACAAAAUGUCUAAAAAUUUGAAAUACAUAAAAUUAUAGUUGUACUUGUAUAAAAUUGAAAAGUAAUUUUAUAUAAGUCAAUCAUUGUUCUUUUUUUAAGAACUUGAGACAUUCGCAACAAAANUUUUAUGUUUUAAUUAUAAAAGAGAAUAAUAAUAAGCAAAAAUUAUUGAAGGAAUUGAUAUAUGCCAAUUUGA
rnacentral:rRNA from 1 species